UACAGAGGGGGCAAGCGUUGUUCGGAAUUACUGGGCGUAAAGGGCGCGUAGGCGGCCCGCUAAGUCGAACGUGAAAUCCCUGGGCUCAACCCAGGAACUGCGUCCGAUACUGGUUGGCUUGAAUCCGGGAGAGGGAUGUGGAAUUCCAGGUGUAGCGGUGAAAUGCGUAGAUAUCUGGAGGAACACCGGUGGCGAAGGCGACAUCCUGGACCGGUAUUGACGCUGAGGCGCGAAAGCCAGGGGAGCAAACGGG
rnacentral:rRNA from 1 species